AGCGAACGCUGGCGGCAGGCCUAACACAUGCAAGUCGAACGAAGUCUUCGGACUUAGUGGCGGACGGGUGCGUAACACGUGGGAACGUACCUUUUGGUUCGGAACAACUCAGGGAAACUGGAGCUAAUACCGGAUGAGCCCUUAGGGGGAAAGAUUUAUCGCCGAAAGAGCGGCCCGCGUUAGAUUAGCUAGUUGGGGAGGUAAAGGCUCACCAAGGCUACGAUCUAUAGAUGGUCUGAGAGGAUGAUCAGCCACACUGGGACUGAGACACGGCCCAGACUCCUACGGGAGGCAGCAGUGGGGAAUCUUGCGCAAUGGGCGAAAGCCUGAAGCAGCCAUGCCGCGUGAAUGAUGAAGGUCUUAGGACUGUAAAAUUCUUUUACCAGGGACGAUAAUGACGGUACCUGGAGGAAAAGCCCCGGCUAACUUCGUGCCAGCCGCCGCAGUAAUAC
rnacentral:rRNA from 1 species